rnacentral:rRNA from 1 species
AGCGAACGCUGGCGGCAGGCCUAACACAUGCAAGUCGAACGGAACCUUCGGGAUUAGUGGCGGACGGGUGAGUAACACGUGGGAACGUGACAUUUGGUUCGGAACACCUUAGGGAAACUUGAGCUAAUACCGGCCGUGCCCUUCGGGGGAAAGAUUUAUCGCCAUUGGAGCGGCCUGCGUCUGAUUAGCUUGUUGGUGAGGUAACGGCCCACCAAAGCGACGAUCAGUAGUUGGUAUGAGAGGGUGGUCAGCCACACUGGGACUGAGACACGGCCCAGACUCCUACGGGAGGCAGCAGUGGGGAAUCGUGCGCAAUGGGCGAAGGCCUGACGCAGCCAUGCCGCGUGAAUGAUGAAGGUCGUAGGAUUGUAAAAUUCUUGCAGCGGGGACGAUAAUGACGGUACCCGCAGAAGAAGCUCCGGCUAACUUCGUG